rnacentral:rRNA from 1 species
UACGUAGGGUGCAAGCGUUGUCCGGAAUUAUUGGCGUAAAGAGCUCGUAGGCGGUCUGUCGCGUCGGCUGUGAAAUCCCGGAGCUCAACUCCGGGUCUGCAGUCGAUACGGGCAAACUGGAGUACUGCAGGGGAGACGUGGAAAUUCCUGGUGUAGCGGUGAAAUGCGCAGAUAUCAGGAGGAACACCGGUGGCGAAGGCGGGUCUCUGGGCAGUAAC